rnacentral:tRNA from 1 species
GCUUAGCUGGCUCAUUUAGUAGAGCAUAUGACUCUUGAUCUUGGGGUCAUGAGUUCAAGCCCCAUGUUGGACA